GCAGCUGGAUUUGUAGGCGGAUAUUGUACCAACUCUGGACACGAAUGUGAAAAUGAUAAAAAUUCCGUAUGUAUUGGAUUUAUUUGUGAGUGUAAAUAUGGAUCCCACAGAAGACUCGAUAUUUGUGUGACAGAUGAAACACUGGGAGGAAUUUGCACAGGCUCUGAUGGAGAAGUGUGUAAAAAUGACAUCAAUGCAGAAUGUCAACGUGGAGUUUGUGUUUGUAAUGAAGCGUCUAGUAUUCUAAAUGGGAAGUGUGUACCUGAUGAAUCAUAUGGAGGCAGAUGCAGUAGUCCGAAUGGUUUUCCGUGUAUAAUUGAUACAAGUGCUGAGUGUAUAGAUGGCUUGUGUCAGUGAAAAUAUGCUACCACUGACGUAGAAGGUAA